rnacentral:rRNA from 1 species
UACGGGGGGGGCAAGCGUUGUUCGGAAUUACUGGGCGUAAAGGGCCCGUAGGCGGCCAACUAAGUCGGACGUGAAAUCCCCAGGCUCAACCUGGGAACUGCGUCUGAUACUGGAUGGCUUGAAUCCGGGAGAGGGAUGCAGAAUUCCAGGUGUAGCGGUGAAAUGCGUAGAUAUCUGGAGGAAUACCGGUGGCGAAGGCGGCAUCCUGGACCGGCAUUGACGCUGAGGAGCGAAAGCCAGGGGAGCAAACGGG